rnacentral:lncRNA from 1 species
AAAUUAUGUUGUUCAGUUAUUGGUUUAGGUGUCCAUUUUUUAUUCAAUCUUUUAUCCCAUAUAGUUUUUUCUUUAUCAUAUUGUUCAUAGUUUGCAUUAUAAUAUUUUAAAUUUUUUGGACUUUUUAUUCCUGAUGUACUAGGUUUUUCAUCCAUGUCUACGUCUCCUGUAUUUACUUCUAAAUUCUUUGUAUUAUCUAUGUUUGCUAAAAGUUCCGUAUAUGUUUCGCUUGUUUCCGAAUGUUGUUCAUCUAGAUCAUCGUCGUUUAUUUCAUCAAUUCUUAUUUCAGGUAGAUUAUCUUGGUUAUUUUCUUCUUUUU